UCCAGCAAUGGAUGCUGACGAGUGGCGCACGGGUGCGUAACGCGUAUGCAACCUACCUUUAACUGAGGAAUAGCUCCGAGAAAUCGGGAUUAAUCCCUCAUAAUAUUUUUGAAAGGCAUCUUUUAAAAAUUAAAGUUUCGACGGUUAUUGAUGGGCAUGCGUGGCAUUAGUUUGUUGGUGAGGUAACGGCUCACCAAGACAUCGAUGCCUAGGGGGCCUGAGAGGGUGAUCCCCCACACUGGUACUGAGACACGGACCAGACUCCUACGGGAGGCAGCAGUAAGGAAUAUUGGGCAAUGGACGAAAGUCUGACCCAGCCAUGCCGCGUGCAGGAUGACGGCCCUAGUGGUUGUAAACUGCUUUUAUACGGGAAGAAAAGUUCCAACGUGUUGGAAUGUGACUGUACCGUAUGAAUAAGCAUCGGCUAACUCCGUGCCAGCAGCCGCGGUAAUACGGAGGAUGCAAGCGUUAUCCGGAUUCAUUGGGUUUAAAGGGUGCGUAGGCGGAUUGGUAAGUCAGUGGUGAAAUCCUCUCGCUUAACGGGAGAAUUGCCGUUGAUACUAUCAAUCUUGAGUACACUUGAAGUGGGCGGAAUGUGUCAUGUAGCGGUGAAAUGC
rnacentral:rRNA from 1 species